UGUGAAGUUCACAGGCGCCCGGAAGCUCGCCGACCUUCACGAAAGUUUGCGGAUGGGUGGGUUCGCGCACCUGAUGACAUGCAACGAUCUCCUAAUACAGCAUGCUGGAAGCUGCACAGGGGAGUUGGCAAGGGGGCACAAGAAAGCAAUGCCCCGUUGCUGUCCGUAGGGUGAACGCAAGGCGGCUCGUGGCGGCCGCAAUUUCUACGCUGCGCUUUUCAUCUCUGAAGCCAUGCGCAGCAGCGUGCAGUCGUCAUGUUCAGAAAAGCAGUGCAAAGGUACCCGAAUAAGCUGUACAACAUUGCUGCAAGGUGCCUUGGUAAACCAGUACCCAGCCCUGAGGAACAGAUUGGACUCUGGCUAUACGCCAGAACAGGAGUUUGCCCACCCCACAUUGCUGUACACUGGCGACAACCGCAUCUCUUCCAAGGCCCUGUGUGUGAAGUGUGGAUAUGUAUGUGUAGAUGUAUUGGACUUCACUUCCGGUGUAACGGGGUUAUUUUUAUUUUCUAUGUACUGGGGCUUUCAACAUCGAAUACAUCAGCUCUGCGGAGCAGACACUCUCAUUGCUGCAACACAUGAUUGAAAUGAAAACGAAAACGACAAAACUAGGCGCCAAGUCCCAACAGCUUUAAUAGCACGGUUAACUGCUAGAGCUAACAAAAUCACAGCCAGUACUGAGCAGGCUGAGAAAUCUGACUAAGCUGCUAAAGUCGUCUUGAAAUGCACCUUCCUGUAUGCACUUAGCCUUUUUUGUUUCUUUUUUUUAACGCUCAGGCUAUUUUGGUGUUCGUAGCCUUGGAUUAUGCAGCUGAGUAAUACUGCCAAUAGCUAGUCAAACCUCGAAAACUUUAUUUUGUUUAAAUGUUAUUCAUAGUUUUUGUAUUAUGGGACAUAAAGCAAACACUCACCAAUAAUAUUUUAAAAAAUAGUGAAAUUACAAGAAAUUGUAUUUCGGAGCCAGUAUGGGUCCUUUGUUCCCAAAUGACAGCAGAGGCAAUGGUUUGGUUCUGUACAGGUGAGAUGGCGGAGAGCGCAUGCAUAGAUGACAGGCAGAUUAUCGUGUGACCUUCCUAUCGCUUAGCACGUCAUCUGAAUAUGCUGUGAUUUUAGUAGUAAUUGCAUUGGUAAUAUUGCAGUGGCAAUUAUGGAUGCCUAGUGCUAGUGUAUAGAAGGCCCUGUUUUCUCCUGGUGUUCGGAUAAUGCGUCGGAAAUAAGGUUGCUUUUAAAGAGCUAGUGCUUAUCCUGCUUUGGGUGCUUCUUAACGUUGCCAGAUUGACAGUGAAUUACAUUUUUUGCAUGUGAAUAUGUACAUGGAGCCAAGUUAGUUCAAUCUUCCAAAGGGGUCCUUCAUGUACACCAGUUCACCACAUAGCUUGCUGGAAGGGACAUGUGCCACCCAACCAUUGCAGUCAUUCAACACUCUGGCAAAAGUCUCGCUCAUGCCACAUACAUACAGGAUGGUAGCACGCUUGCUUUUCUUGCUUACCACUUAGCGGAUGGGCGCUGAGGCACGAUGUUCUUGCUCACUUGGCAGUUUUAGCGGCUGGCCAAGACAUUGCGUGUCAUUUAGCAUCAAGAUCAACUCUGCUUUUUGCCUUGUAUGACUUGAGCAAAGACCGAAAAGCGAGGUUACUAGUGAUGAGGCGGCCAACCUUUGUGGCCCUUGUGGUGUACAGAAAGAACAUCUAGGUAUUUUGACAUGUGUGAGUUUGCGAUGAACCCUCGUGGCAAGGCCAUUGGUGAUUCGUUCCUUGAGAACAUCAAUGGAUGCAAUGUACCUCUUCUCUCAGGCUCUUCGUGUGCUGUAAACUGAUGCUUUCCUUACAAAGUUAAGUGCUUUUUCUGAUUGCUAUAUGUACUGUCACUAAAGGUCACUGUG